rnacentral:rRNA from 1 species
GCAGCUGAUCCAGCCUGCUGCGUGUGUGAGCGGCCUUCGGGUUGUAAAGCUCUUUUAUCGGGAGGAGGGUGCGGUUAAUACGUUGCACCUUGACGUUACCGACGAUAAGCCCGGCUAACUACGUGCCAGCAGCCGCGGUAAUACAG